GGGGGACUAGCUCAAAUGGUAGAGCGCUCGUUUUGCAUACGAGAAGUACCAGGAUCGAUACCUGGGUUCUCCA
rfam:Strongylocentrotus purpuratus Contig43819_fixed, whole genome shotgun sequence.